AGAGUUUGAUCAUGGCUCAGAUUGAACGCUGGCGGUAUGCUUAACACAUGCAAGUCGAACGGCAGCAUAAUCUAGCUUGCUAGAUUGAUGGCGAGUGGCGAACGGGUGAGUAACGCGUAGGAACAUGCCUUAAAGAGGGGGACAACUUGGGGAAACUCAAGCUAAUACCGCAUAAUCUCCAUGGAGAAAAGCUAGGGACCUUCGGGCCUGGCGCUUUAAGAUUGGCCUGCGUACGAUUAGCUAGUUGGUAGGGUAAAGGCCUACCAAGGCGACGAUCGUUAGCUGGUCUGAGAGGAUGACCAGCCACACUGGAACUGAGACACGGUCCAGACUCCUACGGGAGGCAGCAGUGGGGAAUAUUGGACAAUGGGGGCAACCCUGAUCCAGCAAUACCGCGUGUGUGAAGAAGGCCUGAGGGUUGUAAAGCACUUUCAGUGGGGAGGAGGUUUGCUAGGUUAAGAGCUAAGUAAAUGGACGUUACCCACAGAAGAAGCACCGGCUAACUACGUGCCAGCAGCCGCGGUA
rnacentral:rRNA from 1 species